GAUGCAGAGGGAGAGAGGCCCGUGUUCACCAUGGGAUGACACAGGAGAAAAGGCUGGCCAGCUCUCCCUGUCUUCCCAACUCCCUCUAAAGUUGGCGAGAGAAGCCCUUAAUUGUAUUGCAAUGGUUAUGGAUUCAGAAAUGGUUUUUCCCUUGGUGUGUGUUCUUUUUCCUUAGAUUGGAAAGGAUCGGGCACUGAACUUUGACCCCUGCUGCAUCAGCUACUUUACUAAAGGCGAGUACAUUUUGCUGGGGGGUUCAGACAAGCAAGUAUCUCUUUUCACCAAGGAUGGAGUGCGGCUUGGGACUGUUGGGGAGCAGAACUCCUGGGUGUGGACGUGUCAAGCGAAACCGGAUUCCAACUAUGUGGUGGUUGGCUGCCAGGACGGCACCAUUUCCUUCUACCAGCUUAUUUUCAGCACAGUCCAUGGGCUUUACAAGGAUCGCUAUGCGUACAGGGAUAGCAUGACUGAUGUCAUUGUGCAGCACCUGAUCACUGAGCAGAAAGUUCGGAUUAAAUGCAAAGAGCUUGUCAAGAAGAUUGCCAUCUACAGAAAUCGAUUGGC
rnacentral:sRNA from 1 species